GCUGGGAUAGCUCAGUCAGUAGAGCAUGAGUCUCAUAAGGUUGGGGUUGUGGGUUCGAAAGAUUCCUGCAUUGCAUUUCCAACC